rnacentral:rRNA from 1 species
CAGCGCCGCGGGAAUACGUAGGUCCCGAGCGUUGUCCGGAUUUAUUGGGCGUAAAGCGAGCGCAGGCGGUUAGAUAAGUCUGAAGUUAAAGGCUGUGGCUUAACCAUAGUACGCUUUGGAACCUGUUUAACUUGAGUGCAAGAGGGGAGAGUGGAAUUCCAUGUGUAGCGGUGGAAUGCGUAGAUAUAUGGAGGAACACCGGUGGCGAAAGCGGCUCUCUGGCUUGUAACUGACGCAGAGGCUCGAAAGCGUGGGGAGCGAACAGGAUUAGAUACCCCGGUAGUCCCUGUCUCUUAUACAC